UAAAAAGCACAGCCUGCAUCUUAACAGGAAGUUACAGAUUAAUAAACAGCUGACGGAACACACUGAGCAGCGUCCAGUGAGUCACCAGUGGACCUUUCGAUUGCUGUUUCAACCGGUAACGGGGGAGAGAAGAUCGGGACGAGACAUUCCUCGUUGGCGGAAGGUUUUGCAGAGAUGCUGCAAAGCUCUGGGAUUCAGGUCAUUGCCUAUUUUACUGCUCUGGAGAAGUCCGGGAGCAGGAAACAGCCAUAACAAAACUAAAGGAACAGAGGCCAAGCCUUGGGCUCCGGCUGUCACAGCCGAGUCCUGCCACGGGGAGAACUUCUCAGAAGCAAAUGCUAAACGCCAGCACCAGGGAAGCCUUCCCAGCCAGACAGGAUCAUGGGAGUUCAUGCGCGGCGAGGACAGCACGUAGACUCCUAAGUACAAUAAUGACCGAAUGACCUGUAGGUGUAAUCUUCUCUGCUGGGAAAUGAAGGGGCCACGGGGACAAGUGAGAAGUGGCAUCAGUGAACUGAAUUUUCUUAUGUUGGCUGUUCCAUUUUUGUGUUUGAAAAUAGACUGUGGUUCAUUUUGUAUAAUGUUGCUAAAUAAUAUGAUUAAAAAGGCAAAAAUUUAAAAAAAACAAAAACCAGCUUAAGAGGACUCAGCUGUGUCUGAGACCCAGCGAAGCACCAAGCAGCGGUACACCUUG